CUUCAUUUCAUCACAUGGGCAUUUUAUCAUCUCAUAUCAUCAUCAGAAGUAGUGUGAUGAGUCUCUGAAUCCAGGUCUUCAGGAGCAGGCUCCACCUCCUUCACCAGAUGAGAUGUUAUAAUGGACCUCCUUGGUUUUAUUUUGUUGGGGUAGCUGUAUGUCUCUGGAUCUGGACAUUUGUUUCCUUCUCCAGGGUUUCACUGAUGCCUUCCUCUCUUUUCCCAAGCCCAGUGAGUAUCUUUAUGAUCAUUACUUUAAAUUCUCAAUUUCAGCCCUAACAGAAUAGCAAGGGCAGUCAGCUUGUCCUGGACCACAAUUCUGUGGAUUCUUGGCAUUCAGCUGGGGUUCAAAACCCAAAAUCUUAAAAGACCCAACACAGUGCAGAUCCAGAUAUGCUCCCCUCCUCCGGAGCAGAGCCCCACCACCUGCUGAUGAAAGGCUUUUGGCUUGCACCUGCAGGGUCUUUUUGUCCUUGCAGAGGCAAUAAACCAUCUUUCCAAAGUACUCUGUGAACGAUUGUUCUCCCAGUGUGCCCCGGAGAUUGCUACACCACACUAUGCACUCCAGGGCCAGCUCCUUCCUCCCCAGGAGUGCAUGCCACAUCUCCACUCAGGGGAAUGUUGUGAACCUCCAAAACCUCUGAGUUUCAGCUCCAAAGGCUGUUUUCAAAAAGAACUAGCACAUUCCAUACUUCUUGUUCCCCAGUCCAAAACCUUGUUCCCCAGGUUUUCCUGUUGUGCUAACUCAAAGCCACACUUUCACAACCCCUCUCCCUUUCUCUCCCUUUUGUCUCUCCACAGAAAGGGUUCCCUCUCCUCCAUGGUUGUGCCAUUUUAUCUCCUAUCUUCACUUCCUCACACCUCAUUCCUGUCAAGCUGUCUUGCUCCAACUGUGGAGGUCCUUCUACCCCUCCACAGAUCAACUUCUUGGGUGUUCCAAGUGAUCUGAUCCCAAUAUAGCUGUGUUUGAGGGACAAGGAAAAUCCCUGCCUCCCUACUUCUCCUCUGGAGUUUAAGCUGUAUUACAAAGCUAUAAUCAUCAAGACAGUAUGGUAUUAGCACAAAAACAGACACAUAGAUCAAUGGAAUAGAAUAGAGAACCCAGAAAUGGACCUACAAAUAUACGGCCAACUAAUUUUUAACAAAGCGGGAAAGAGUAUCUAAUGGAAAACAAGACAGUCUCUUCAGUAAAUGAUGCUGGGAGGACUGGACAUCGACAUGCAGAAGAAAGACAGUGGACCACUUUCUUACACCAUACACAAAAGUAAAUCCAAAAUUAAUGAAAGAGCUAAGAGUGAGACAGGAAACCAUCAAAAUCCUA